UUAGACUGCUCUGUGGAGAAUAACACCACCUGUGACUGCGUUCGCAAUGCUACAUUGGACACUGCUGAAUUUUAUGAGAAGUAUGGAGACUGCGAUUGGAGUUUGAGGAACAAGGUAAAUACAAAUGUUAUAUUACACACACACACUUUUUUUUAAGUUCUGUUGCAAGUUCACAUCCACUUUCAUGUGUUUUCUCAUACUUUUUUUUUUUUUACAUUUGUAGGAAGAUGUAGUUCUUCAACUACUAAGUCCAGUCCCAAAUGUAACUGUCCCAUGCAGCUGGCCUGAAAUUCACUUGAAGUUGAACUGUGACAGCCCAAAGGUACAUUGUGUAAUAGCAUGUUUAUUUUUUAUUUAAUAGCUAUCUAGCCUAUUUGUAUCAGUUUUAUUUACAGAUUUCACUGAUUUGAAUUUUGUGUGUUUCUUCUUCAGCUUGAAGUGUUUCUGGUUUGCUACAAGUGUGAGUACCUGUCUACUCCCAUUCUACCUUUUUCCUUCAAAUAACUUAGCAAAUGCUUUUUCACAUGAAUUAAUCAGUCUUUUCUGACUGUUUGCAGUUGAAAGCAAAACUGGACACAUCAGUGCUGGAGAAACUCCCCUUCAAAGUCAUGUGAUCAUUCUGUGUCUGUGUCUGUGGUGCUGGAGGUACUUACUAUAAAGCACUGACAAAACGUGCAUGACCACUGACGAUGAUAGAAGUCCGCUAUGCCCUCCACAAAAAAGUUCCAUGCUUAAUUUGAUCUGCAAGAAUGAUUUUUUUAGAGUACUUUCUAUGAGUUUUAAUACACAAUAUGGCCAAAAGUUUGUGGAAACCUAACCAUCCCAUCCAUACAGCCUGGAUUAUAUUAUGGGGUGGGGCUUCACCUAUCAUCACCUAUCUGCUGCACCUGCUGCAUCUGUCAGGCCCUCGUCCAAAAACAAUUUAGAAACACAUCGCUUGUUAGCAGGGUCCAGGAAUUAAUUUCAAGAGAAAGAUGAGGAAAAAUAUGAAAUUAAAUAACCGUGUGAUGAGUACAGUUCAGUUGAGAAGUGUGAGACACUCGAUUUUGAGUGAAUGCCACAAAGCAGUAAAAGCAGUGAUGGCAUGAAAUCAAAUAAAACAUUGUUAGUAAUUGCAGAACAUAUGUCAUUUAUUUGAUGGCCGGUUAAAUAUGGAAUUGUAAUGAUAACUUCCUAGAACUUUUAUGAACAUCACAGUGCAGCUAUGGUGCAAAACCAUGUUAUACAUACAGCUGAAUAGUUUGUUAUACUUUUUUGUUAUAAAUGUCAUAUUAUAGGCCUACUGUAUUUUCAGAGCCGUGGUUAUUGAUUUUGUUUAAAACGAUAAUAAUACGUGUGUAAAAUGCUGAUGUGGCCCUUCUUUAAAUACUCUUUUAUAACCAAUGCUUGUGUUGCUGCAAAGAAAAAAUUGUAAACAGUGUUGCUCUGAAUUCAUAUUUGUGUUAGUAGUAGUGUUUCAAAACUUAUGGUGAACUUUAGUGAAUACAGCUCGCAGUUACUGCAUCGUCGUUAAAUGCAUAAAUGAUUCAAGCAAACAUGCAAACUAGUUGGUCUCCUCUAGCCUAUAUUUUAGUAAUGUGUGUACAAGUGCGAGUGUGCCUGAAAUUUAGUAUUUUGAAUAACAUAGGGUACCUAUUGGUUGGGAGUCCCAUGGUGUUAACAUGGCCCCAGUGCCCUGUGUGAUGAUAAUCUGGGCCUGCACCCAUAUGUGAUUGUUGAAAAUUCCACAUUUUGUCCCCCUUUGCUGUUUUAAUAUCCUGUACUCUGCUGGGAAGACUUUCCACUAGAUUCUGUAGUUUGGCUGUGGGGAUUUUCCCAUUCAGCCACAAGAGUAUUAAUAGAGGUCAGGCAUUGAUGUUUGGUGAGGAGGCCUGGGGUGUGCACUCGAUGUAUCGGUUCAUCUCAGAGGUGUUUAGUGGGGUUGUGCUCAGGGCUCUGUGCAGGCCACUUGAGCAGGCUUGGGGAGUAACGGAAUACAUGUAACAGCAUUAUGUAAUCAGGAUACAAAAAAAUGGUAACUGUAAAGGAUUAAAAAACAAACUAAUCAGAUUACAGAUACAUUUUGUAAAAAAUAAAAAAUAAAAAAAAAUAAAAAAAACUAUAGGAAUAGUAUCAGGAUUACAAUUUUUUUCCAUUUAAAACCAAAGAAAUUAAUCUUUUGACAUAACGCAGUAUAGACAGCUGCAUGUUUAUAGGUCUGGUUCUCUCUUGUCAGUUGUGGCUCACAUGAGCAACCUAUUUGCACAUGCACCAAUAAAAUUUUCCCAAAGUUAAUUUGAUAGAAAUUAACACACAUUGUUCUCUGAAAUGCUUUUUAAUCACCUUUAAUCAUGUCCUCUUUUUCAGACCUUAAAAAAAGCAUCUAAAUUUGAGAAAGUGUCUGGGAUUCAGGUUUAGUUUUAUUAUAAUGUGCUUAUGGUCUAAUACUGCAUCAUGUGUGCACAUUUUUGCAUGGCUUUAACUCCUCUCUGUAAUUCCCGCCUUCUCGCACACCAGUUGGUUGAUUAUAAAAAUGCUUACAGCAAAUAUUGGCCAAAUUCCUGCC